GGGCCCGUGGUGUAGCGGCCGAACACACUGGCCUGUCAAGCCAGAGAGCGCGGGUUCGAAUCCCGUCGGGCCCG
rnacentral:tRNA from 1 species